rnacentral:rRNA from 1 species
CCCCGCUACGGGACGCAGCAGUAGGGAAUUUUCGUCAAUGGGCGCAAGCCUGAACGAGCAAUGCCGCGUGAACGAGGAAGGUCUUCGGAUCGUAAAGUUCUGUUGAAGGGGAAAAAGAGCGGAGAGAGGAAAUGAACUCCGAUUGAUAUUACCCUUCGAGGAGGUCACGGCUAACUACGUGCCAGCAGCCGCGGUAAUACGUAGGUGGCGAGCGUUAUCCGGAAUGAUUGGGCGUAAAGGGUGCGUAGGCGGCCUGCUAAGUCUGGAGUGAAAGGUACCGGCUCAACCGGUACAGGCUCUGGAAA